rnacentral:rRNA from 1 species
GGUGACUGCGUACCUUUUGUAUAAUGGGUCAGCGACUUAUAUUCUGUAGCAAGGUUAACCGCAUAGGGGAGCCGAAGGGAAACCGAGUCUUAAUUGGGCGUUAAGUUGCAGGGUAUAGACCCGAAACCCGGUGAUCUAGCCAUGGGCAGGUUGAAGGUUGGGUAACACUAACUGGAGGACCGAACCGACUAAUGUUGAAAAAUUAGCGGAUGACCUGUGGCUGGGGGUGAAAGGCCAAUCAAACCGGGAGAUAGCUGGUUCUCCCCGAAAGCUAUUUAGGUAGCGCCUCGUGAACUCAUCUCCGGGGGUAGAGCACUGUUUCGGCUAGGGGGCCAUCCCGGCUUACCAACCCGAUGCAAACUGCGAAUACCGGAGAAUGUUAUCACGGGAGACACACGGCGGGUGCUAACGUCCGUCGUGAAGAGGGAAACAACCCAGACCGCCAGCUAAGGUCCCAAAGUCAUGGUUAAGUGGGAAACGAUGUGGGAAGGCCCAGACAGCCAGGAUGUUGGCUUAGAAGCAGCCAUCAUUUAAAGAAAGCGUAAUAGCUCACUGGUCGAGUCGGCCUGCGCGGAAGAUGUAACGGGGCUAAACCAUGCACCGAAGCUGCGGCAGCGACACUGUGUGUUGUUGGGUAGGGGAGCGUUCUGUAAGCCGUUGAAGGUGUGUCGUGAGGCAUGCUGGAGGUAUCAGAAGUGCGAAUGCUGACAUAAGUAACGAUAAAGCGGGUGAAAAGCCCGCUCGCCGGAAGACCAAGGGUUCCUGUCCAACGUUAAUCGGGGCAGGGUGAGUCGACCCCUAAGGCGAGGCCGAAAGGCGUAGUCGAUGGGAAACGGGUUAAUAUUCCCGUACUUGGUGUUACUGCGAAGGGGGGACGGAGAAGGCUAUGUUGGCCGGGCGACGGUAGUCCCGGUUUAAGCGUGUAGGCUGGUUUUCCAGGCAAAUCCGGAAAAUCAAGGCUGAGGCGUGAUGACGAGGCACCACGGUGCUGAAGCAACAAAUGCCCUGCUUCCAGGAAAAGCCUCUAAGCAUCAGGUAACAUCAAAUCGUACCCCAAACCGACACAGGUGGUCAGGUAGAGAAUACCAAGGCGCUUGAGAGAACUCGGGUGAAGGAACUAGGCAAAAUGGUGCCGUAACUUCGGGAGAAGGCACGCUGACACGUAGGUGAAGUGAUUUACUCAUGGAGCUGAAGUCAGUCGAAGAUACCAGCUGGCUGCAACUGUUUAUUAAAAACACAGCACUGUGCAAACACGAAAGUGGACGUAUACGGUGUGACGCCUGCCCGGUGCCGGAAGGUUAAUUGAUGGGGUCAGCGCAAGCGAAGCUCCUGAUCGAAGCCCCGGUAAACGGCGGCCGUAACUAUAACGGUCCUAAGGUAGCGAAAUUCCUUGUCGGGUAAGUUCCGACCUGCACGAAUGGCGUAAUGAUGGCCAGGCUGUCUCCACCCGAGACUCAGUGAAAUUGAACUCGCUGUGAAGAUGCAGUGUACCCGCGGCAAGACGGAAAGACCCCGUGAACCUUUACUAUAGCUUGACACUGAACAUUGAGCCUUGAUGUGUAGGAUAGGUGGGAGGCUUUGAAGCGUGGACGCCAGUCUGCGUGGAGCCGACCUUGAAAUACCACCCUUUAAUGUUUGAUGUUCUAACGUGGACCCGUAAUCCGGGUUGCGGACAGUGUCUGGUGGGUAGUUUGACUGGGGCGGUCUCCUCCUAAAGAGUAACGGAGGAGCACGAAGGUUGGCUAAUCCUGGUCGGACAUCAGGAGGUUAGUGCAAUGGCAUAAGCCAGCUUGACUGCGAGCGUGACGGCGCGAGCAGGUGCGAAAGCAGGUCAUAGUGAUCCGGUGGUUCUGAAUGGAAGGGCCAUCGCUCAACGGAUAAAAGGUACUCCGGGGAUAACAGGCUGAUACCGCCCAAGAGUUCAUAUCGACGGCGGUGUUUGGCACCUCGAUGUCGGCUCAUCACAUCCUGGGGCUGAAGUAGGUCCCAAGGGUAUGGCUGUUCGCCAUUUAAAGUGGUACGCGAGCUGGGUUUAGAACGUCGUGAGACAGUUCGGUCCCUAUCUGCCGUGGGCGCUGGAAGACUGAGGGGGGCUGCUCCUAGUACGAGAGGACCGGAGUGGACGCAUCACUGGUGUUCGGGUUGUCAUGCCAAUGGCACUGCCCGGUAGCUAAAUGCGGAAAAGAUAAGUGCUGAAAGCAUCUAAGCACGAAACUUGCCCCGAGAUGAGUCUUCCCUGAGACUUUGA